ACGCUCGACACCUACGGGGAGGCAGCAGUUGGGAAUAUUGGACAAUGGAGGAAACUCUGAUCCAGUGACGCCGCGUGAAGGAAGAAGGUCUACGGAUUGUAAACUUAUUUUGUCAGGGAAGAAAAAUGACUGUACCUGAAGAAAAAGCACCGGCUAACUACGUGCCAACAGCCGCGGUAAUCUGAGCGGGCUGGCAAGGC
rnacentral:rRNA from 1 species